UUUCUUGAAGCUAGGUUGCUUGUUGAGGGGGAGUACUGUAUAGCCAGAGAUCCUCUUCUCCAGUUGACAAAGUCUUGGGCCUGCCUGACUUUAUGAGGCAUGAACCCGUACCCUAUGUGCAGAGUGCUAUAGCAGUUCACCAACCUGAUGUCUUUGUGCUGGACUAAGUCUUCUUGGUAGCUGUAACUUGUCUAGAUCUGCACCAAAGCAAGGUCUCAAGUGCCUCUUCAAAUACAAGUCCAAAUGACAGGAGUCCAGGAGUUUGGGAGUUAUUAGAGAGCCAAAGUGCUUCCUGUGGGCCUCCUCCUUUGAAACAACAACUCUGCACCAGGAGCUUCUGCAGAAGGGGAAAAAUACUGCUUUGACUUUCAGUUUUCAUCGAAGACCUUGAAACACUCCUUGAUUAGGCAGGUGUUAUUAAUCUUGUGUUGUCUGACAUUAAACCUCAGACAGGUGUGCAAAGUCAAAUUCAGUGCUGUGGUAUGCUGGCUGUCACCGCUGGUCUCCAAGCCAAAGUGUUCUGCUCCUGCAUCACCCUGUCCCACAUCACACUGCAUAGUUGCUCCUCUGGGGAAAGACUUCGUGGUUGCCCAGUGGGUCAGCCAGGCCCCGUUAGUCCUGGGCAGGAUGCCCAAGCUUUUGUAUGCUGUGAUUGACAGCAACUUAUGCUGGAGUGCAAGGACAUGCUGGAGUUCCUUGCAAAAGCACUCAAACAAGCUGAGCUGCUGAGAGAAGAAAACUAACAUCUGUGUGACAGAACACCACCUAUUUAUUCGCUAGCAUGGAUGUCAUCAUGAUUGCUGUUAUUUAAAAAGUUGUGAAAGUGCAUAGCUUACUAUCAUUUGCAUAGGGUUUGCUGGCAAGCUCUUUUCAAGAUUGUUCUGCAUGGGCAUGGAAUUUCAGCAUGGAUCUGUAUUGCUCAGCUUCCUUCCUUCCCCAGGUGUUAAAAUUGCCUGCACAUAGGAGUGCAGUUUUACAACCUCGUAUGUGAUGAACCAUUGUGCUGUAAAACAGGCAACUGUGGAAUCUGGAUUGCUUUCUAAUUUUUGGGUAGCUUAAACUAAAGUUCUUAUGCUAUGAAUCUAUUUGAGGCAGAGACUGCUUUUUUGAAGGGAUGAAGUAAAUUCUAAAAUAUUAAUGCUUCCAAACAUUAGGAGCAAACAGUAUUGCUCGUAAACUCAGAUUCAUUUUUAUUGCUGUGGUUCAUCUCUCUUUAUAUGCAGAAAGGCAGACAUGAAGAUGCAGCUGCAGCGCAUACAACUUGGUAAGGGAAAUGGGUAGCACAGCAGUGCUAGGGGCAGCAGUGGCACAAAUCUGCCUUCAGUGGCACGUAUGGGGCCUAAAGCAGCCUUGGCAGGGCUCACGGUCCCUUCCAGCUAACAGCCAUGUGGAUUUUCAUCUUCUGUCAAGGAGCAAAGGCAGACUAUUGCAAUGUUAGUAAAAACACAGCUUUGAAGCUGAAGAAAUCCCUUUGCCAGGGACUUACAGCCACAGCUCUUACUAGCACUGACACAUGAAAACCUUAAGUAUGUGCUUAGAAUUAACACGUGCUUAAACUUAACGUGUGCUGAAAUGCUCCGAGGAACUGGAGUGGUGGCAGUCAUAUGUUUAAACUUGGGUACUUGAGAAAGGUUUUGGCUAACACUGGGCCUAAAAAGGAUUUUAUAGAAGUGAUUCUGAAAGCAGGUGGAAUUUAAAAGAGACUGAGAUAGCUUUGAAAUUCUUGAAACUUGUAGUACUAGUUAGAAGAAAAAUAUUCUUGCUCUAAAUCAUCAAUUUUAAAAAGUCCAAUAUGUUUUAUAAAAUUCCUUAGAGGUUUUCCAUAAUUGUAUUUAAGUUGAUGUCUAUGGCAGCCCUUGGUGGGCCUGUGCUGCUUCCAUGUUAGUACAGUCCUGCUUUACUGACAUUGCAUUUUGGAGAAGCAAGAAUUACAUUGACGUGCAGCAAUUUCCUAUUAGAUACAAACAGAACUUCAGAAAUCAUCUGUUUAACCUGAAAAGCCCCAAGAACUUGAUCUUGGAGUAAAUAAAUGAAAGUGCUUUUGCAUUUUGGUCUGGAACACAGAACUGAACUAAAAAAAAAAAAAAGCUCUUGUUUUUCUUAGGGCAGCUGUGUCGUUUAACUAUGUAAUAACUGAAGAUGAACAUUUUGGUUCAUGUGAGUGUGUGUAACGUGCUUUGAGCGAGAUGGAGCCAUUGUGGAAGAGACCAGGCUGUACGUGAUAGCUUUUUUCUGAGCUAGUUGUGGCAGGUGACUUUACAGCCACCCUUUUAGACACGAGGAAAACUAUCUAAGACAUGUAUGAUAAAACCAUUAUAAGGCCCGUGUGAUAAACCCUGGGAUUUACAUCUCUUUUACUUAAAAAUACAAACCAAUUCUAGCCAAAGCAGGCUGAUUAAUGGAACUGUAAUUUUAAAACUGAGAAACCUUUGACCUUUAAAUGCUUUAUUGAAUUAACAGUUUAUGAGCAAGGGUGUGAUAGGUGAAAAAGAAGACUGAGAUAAUUUUCUAUACAUAAUAUGGUAAAUAUUUCUUCUCUACUACUGCAUAUCAGUUUCUUCUUGCUGGGAGCAGAAUGUUUAUACCCGGUGCUACCAGUGACAGCAUAUCUAUUUGACUAGAAAGAGAAUUAGAAGAAUUCACUUUAUACUUUCUCCUUCUCUCAGUUUUUUUUUUUUUUUCCCCUCCUUAAGUACAUGUUUGCUUAAGGGGGAUGUCGAUAUUGAAAUGUUUUUUCCAGAUAGUGGUUGAAUCUUGAGAGUUAUAACAAACGAACAGAGAUGGGCAAUUGUCUAUAGAUGCUUAUGGGAAAGCAUGUGUGUUUCUUUGUAAUUUUGCCAAGUAUUGGUUCCUGUAAUAGAUUCAUCCCUUAAAGACAGCAGUGAAA
ensembl:lncRNA